GCUGGGUGCGGUGGCUCAUGCCUACAGUCCCAGCUACUCAGGAGGCUGAGGCGGGAGGAUCGCUUGAGUCCAGGAGUUCUGGGCUGUAGUGCGCUAUGCCAGUCGGGUGUCUGCACUAAGUUCGGCAUCAAUAUGGUGACUUCCGGGAGCAGGGGACCACCAGGUUGCCUAAGGAGGGGUGAACCGGCCCAGGUUGGAAACAGAACAGGUCAAAACUCCCAUGCUGAUCAGUAGUGGGAUCACACCUGUGAAUAGCCACUGCACUCCAGCUUGGGCAACAUAGUGAGACCCCAUCUCU
rnacentral:SRP_RNA from 1 species